GACGAACGCUGGCGGCGUGCCUAAUACAUGCAAGUAGAACGCAGUUGCGAACGCGUGAGUAACGCGUAGGUAACUGCCUCAUUGCGGGGGAUAAACAAUGGAAACGAUAGCUAAUACCGCAUAUUGUGAGAUGGACCUGCGUUGUAUUAUCGAGUUUGAGCGGCAAAGGCUCACCAAGGCGACGAUACAUAGCCGGACUGAGAGGGGGAACGGCCAAACUUGGACUGAGACACGGCCCAGACUCCGACGGGAGGACGCAGUAGGGAAUCUUAGGAAAUGGAAGGAAGGCUUAACAAGCAACGCCGCGUUAGUGAAGAAGGUUUUCGGGUCGUAAAGCUCUGUUGAUAGGGAAGCGGUAACUAACCAGAAAGGGACGGCUAACUACGUGCCAGCAGCCGCGGUAAUUC
rnacentral:rRNA from 1 species